CCAGCAGCUGCGGUAAUUCCAGCUCCAAUAGCGUAUAUUUAAGUUGCUGCAGUUAAAAAGCUCGUAGUUGGAUUUCGGGUGGGUUCUGCCGGUCCGGUUUAUCUGUGCACUGGCAUGGCCUACCUUUCUGCCGGGGACGCGCUCUGGGGAUAAAACCCCGGACGUGGAUUCGGCGAGGUUACUUUGAGUAAAUUAGAGUGUUCAAAGCAGGCUUACGCUCUGAAUACGUUAGCAUGGAAUAACAUUAUAGGACUCUGGCCUAUCUUGUUGGUCUGUGGGACCGGAGUAAUGAUUAAGAGGGACAGUCGGGGGCAUUCGUAUUUCAUUGUCAGAGGUGAAAUUCUUGGAUUUAUGAAAGACGAACUUCUGCGAAAGCAUUUGCCAAGGAUGUUUUCAUUAAUCAAGAACGAACGU
rnacentral:rRNA from 1 species